rnacentral:rRNA from 1 species
AUUGAACGCUGGCGGCAGGCCUAACACAUGCAAGUCGAGCGAGUGGCGGACGGGUGAGUAAUGUAUGGGGACUGCCCGAUAGAGGGGGAUAACUACUGGAAAAGGGGGCUAAUAACGCAUACUAUCGGAUAACCCAUAUGGGAUUAGCUAGUAGGUGGGGUAAUGGCUCACGUAGGCGACGACCGCUAGCUGGGCUGAGAGGAUGAAAAGCCAAACUGGGACUGAGACACGGCCCAGACUCCACCGGAGGCAGCAGUGGGGAAUAUUGCACAAUGGGCGCAAGCCUGAGGCAGCAAUGCCGCGUGUAUGAAGAAGGCCUUAGGGUUGUAAAGUACUUUCAGCGGGGAGGCGUUACCCGCAGAAGAAGCACCGGCUAACUCCGUGCCAGCAGCCGCGGUAAUAC